rnacentral:lncRNA from 1 species
GCACCACCCUGGGGCGUUUUCAGGAACAUUGGCUCACCCUCUAUCAGUGUCAGUGAUAAUGCUGGGAUAAAACACCACAGCAUGCUUUCAUGAAGCAAGCCGCCAUGUUGGAGCAGCCCUCCUGGAAAAGAGCUGAGGAUGGCCUCUGGCCAACAGCCAGUGAGAAACUGAAUUCUGCCAACAGCCAUGUGAGUGAGCUUGGAUGCAGAUCCUUCCCCAGUCAAGUCUCAGAUGAGACCACAGCCCUGGAUGACACCUUGUCUACAGACUUGUGAGACCCAGAAACAGAGGACCUGGUUGAGCCAUGCCUGACUCCUGAUCCAUAAAAACUAUGAGAUAACAAAUGUUGUUCUUUCAGGCCACUAAGUUUGUGGUAAUUUGUUACGUAGUUAUAGAUUACUAAUCCACUCCAACUAACUAAAUAGAGGUUAUGACUGUAAUGAAUCUUUAUAUUUUCAACACAAUUAUUUUUCAGAAGGAGAAAUUACAGGCAUAAUAGUUAUGUGUUCAGUAACUAAUGUUGAGCUCCAUUUUUAAUAAGUUGGCAAAGGGGAGAAUGGCCAAGUUGAAACCAAGGCAUUUCUCUUUCCUUCAUACUUUCAAUAGGUUAUGCAACCUUGUGCGGUAGCAAAAUCCUAUUGAAUAUUCAGUUUAUGAGCCAUUCAUUUCUUGGAAUCCUCCUGUUUUACCUGGUACUUGCAAAUAGGUACUUCUUGUCCUAUUUUACCAUCAGAGUCAAAGAAAGGAGAAGCUCAGCUCAAACUUCCUGUAUCUAUAUAGAAAUUCUGAUAGGCUUAGCUACUCAUUUGUAAUAUUAGGAAAACAUUGGUGAGACACAUGGCAAAGGUAGCUGGUACAUCCUUAGAAAUUAGAAGAUGUAGCCAGACCAUAGAACAAGAGAAAAAGAGAGGAGGUGAAGGGUACCAAAGAAAAUCAGACCACUUCAUGAACUUACUGAGCACUGGUCCUGCCUGCAAUCUUUGAGAAGUGACCCUUCCCUUUUUUUAACCCUGGAGUUUCACUGCCAGGGCUUGUGUGGCCCAGCUGAAUGACAAGGUGCACCAGCUUGGAAGAGGAGGAAGAGAAGGUGGUAAGAGCCUGACACAGCCAUUCAUUUCCUCAUCUACGUACCACAAAACUUCAGGCUCCAUAGGAAUAUGUCUCAGAAGUCAGCUUAAAAA